UAGAGUUUGCGCGGUUGCUGCUGGUUCUUACAAGUGCACGCCGUGUCUUUCUUAUCCACCCCACCGUGCAUCCCGGCGCGCCUCGUCUUUCGACGGGGGGCGGUCCGUUUUUUUACACCUUACCUUUUGUAACCGAGCGAAUGAAAUUGAUUUAACAAUGUA
rnacentral:misc_RNA from 1 species